ACUCUUACGGGAGGCAGCAGUGGGGAAUAUUGCACAAUGGGGGAAAGCCUGAUGCAGCAACGCCGCGUGAGCGAUGAAGGCCUUCGGGUCGUAAAGCUCUGUCCUCAAGAAGAUAAUGACG
rnacentral:rRNA from 1 species